AAAAUAUAUAUUUAAUGAUUUUAAAAAAAUUAAGUAUCUAAAACGUUCAUUUGAAGUGAAAAUUUGACCAUUUGAAUAUAAUAAAUAUAUUCAAUAAAAUAAACUAUUUUCUUGUAAAAUAAUUUUCAUAAAACUAUGGGUACAUAAUUCUUAUAGCGUAAAAGAUAAUUAUAUUCAUAUAUACUAUAAAGCAAAUAACCAAAGCAUAAAAUUUCUUUUACAGUGACACAUGGGCCCACCUCUAACCAAAAUGCAUCGAAAGUUGAAAAAUUACAGCUUUUACCGAUUCGAGUCCAAAUGAAAGUUCUUGUCAAAGUCAGCUAACUAUGAAAUUCCCCAAGCCUGAAAUGUGAGGAAAUGAGGGUGGUGAGAUUAUAAAAUCCCAAUGAGUAAACAGAUACCAUCUAAACUAUCUAAAGUCGAGUAAAUGGAGACAAUUAAAAUAAUUCAUCAUACUGUAAUUUCAUUACCUUUCAACUCAUUUCAACCAAAUAAAAUCAAUCCAUAAAAAUUGAGUAAUCAACUUGGCUUAUGAAUUUAUUAAAACUUUGGCUCGUGUCAAAACUCAUACUCGGUGAUACCUUGCUCAGGGCAUCUAACCGAGUCCGCCAAGGCUGUUAAAAUUUUGUAUACACUUAAAAUAUAUUUUAAUUUGAGAAAAAUACAGCCAUUCCUUAGCGUUGGCUGAGUUCUCCUUCACGUGGUGGUUUGGCGUGAAGUGAACCCUAAGCUUUACCCCAGGAGAUACCCUACGCGCCUCUCCGUUCGAGGUAAUAAUAUAAUGGAGUUUACCGUGCCCCUCUAAUAGGCUGGUCCACGGAACCCCCUCUGCAGUAAAU
rnacentral:lncRNA from 1 species